UACGGAGGAUGCAAGCGUUAUCCGGAAUGAUUGGGCGUAAAGCGUCCGCAGGUGGCUGUGUAAGUCUGCUGUCAAAGAGCAAAGCUCAACUUUGUAAAGGCAGUGGAAACUACACGGCUAGAGUGCGUUCGGGGCAGAGGGAAUUCCUGGUGUAGCGGUGAAAUGCAUUGAGAUCGGAAAGAACACCAACGGCGAAAGCACUCGUGCUGGGCCGACACUGACACUGAGAGACGAAAGCUAGGGGAGCAAAUGGG
rnacentral:rRNA from 1 species